rnacentral:snRNA from 1 species
GUGCUUGCUAAGGCAGCGCAUAUAAUAAAUUGGAAACGAUACAGAGAAGAUUAGCAUGGCCCCUGCGAAAGGAUCACACGCAAAUUCGUGAAGCGUUCCACAUUUUG